ACUGGACCUAGCUGCUAGCUUGCUACAUCUAAGGUCGACCAGACGGUUCUCACCACCGGCAGUACUGCUCAGGGAAUAAGGUGAAGGUGGACUCUUCUUGUUCAGUGGAGCACAUGUGGUCCUGGAGAAAGCUGUCACACAGUGGACUCAGAGAUGUGGUCCACGGGCACUAAUUUCCUCUCAGUCCCUGCCUAAGCAAGAUUCAUCUUCCUCUGCCUGCUGUUUCAUUUUUUUCUUCUAUUGUCUGGUAUAUCUUAAGAUAAAAACUUGUUUCCAAAGGGAAAGUUUCAGAAAUGUUUCUAAGAAUAAUAAUUCAAGUUGGAUUUCCAAGUAGUAUUCCUGGGCAACUGAUUAAAUUCUUUUGUCAAUAAUCAAAAUCUGGAAUGUCCUGGAUUAGUUCCACCAUUUCAUCAUGAUAACUCCCUCUUCUAUAAUCCCUACCAGAAAUGAUUGCUUUGCUUAAAAGCUUUUCCCUGAGAAGACACUGGUGUGUUAUUUCUUUAUCAGCUUAUGAAAAUUAAUUCUGGUUGGGUACAGUGGCUCAUGCCUGUAAUCCCAGCACUUUGGGAGGCUGAGGUGGGCGGAUCAUGAGGUCAAAAUUGAGACCUUCCUAGCCAACAUGGUGAAACCCUGUCUCUACUAAAAAUACAAAAUUAGCUGGGUGUGGUGGCAUGCGCCUGUAGUCCCAGCUACUUGGGAGGCUGAGGCAGGAGAAUCACUUGAUCCUGGGAGGCAGAGGGUGCAGUGAGCCGAGAGAGCGCCACUGCAUUGCAGCCUGGCGACAGAGCGAGACUCCAUCUAAAAAUAUAUGUAUAUUAAUUCUACAUAUCUAGGAUUUUUACUGUGCCUUUGUGUUUUUUUAAGCUACUGGUUUUCUCAAGUUAAACAUUAAAAGUAUUAUGGAAGUACUGAUGAUGUACUCAGAGGAAAACAAUAGAGCAUAUAAUUUAUUUGUUAUAAAAUGUAAAAGUUCUGCAAGAUUUUCCUCUGAUUUGUAAAAUGUUCUCUCUCAAGAAAGUUUUUCUUUACGUCUUACAUUUUUUUUUAUUUUAAAGACCCACAGGGUUGCUUAAAGUGUGAUAGUCCUGUUGUUGUAGCGAAGAUAAUUACACAUACAACCUGGCUUUUGUGGCAUCUUGCUUACCCUAUUUUGCAGAACACAGAUACCAAAGGUUGGCCUUAUGAAGCUGGAGCUAUUUUUGCACUGUUAUUUCAGAAAUGCUGAAAGAACAUCCUACUGAUUUUCUAAUACUCAAAAUUAUACAAUAAUAUACUUGGACGUUUAGGUCUUAAAGACUUUUCAUCAUGAGUUUCUGUUAAAAUCUAAUAUGAAAUGCAGCUGCCAUCCAGAAUCUUAACAGUGUUUGCUGCCAGCCAACUGAAUGACUUAUUGGAGGAACGAUUCAUGACUUCUGGGCCUGAGGGACUGGCUGUCAGGGGGCUGGUUUGAGCAAAGCUCUUCCAUAGGUGACUCCAUAUUUGCACUGACAGAAGCUCCUAUUGCACAGAAUUGUACAAUUAUUCAGAAAGAGUAGAAAUCAUGAAUCUACAUUUUACCUGAUUUCAAACUGGUUGACAAUUUACUUCUGCAGAUUAUUUUUCUCUUCUCCACUUAAUUUAUAAUUUAUUCCAUCUAUUUUUUUCCUUUUCUGCCAACUAUUGUAUUUUUCUAGGGAUAGUUGCAGGAACGAAACUGAUUUCUAUCAGAGUGCUUAUUAUAAUUCUAUUCUAUUACUCUGUGAACAAAGAUGCAAAAAUCCUCACCCAAAUAUUAAGAAAUCAAAUCCAAAAAUGUAUAAAAAGAAUUAUACACUACAACCCAGUGAGAUUUAUUACAGGCAUGCAAAUCUGGUUCAACAUUUGAAUAUAAAUUAGGCUGGGUGUGGUGGCUCAUACCGGUAAUCCCAGUGCAGUAGGAGGCCAAGGAAAGAGGAUCACUUAAGGCCAGGAGUUCAAGAUAAGCGCAGACAACAUAGCAAGACUCUGUCUUUUAAAGAAAUUAGUUCAUCAUAUUAAGAGAUAUAAAAAGAUAAUAUGAUCUUAUCAAUAUAAUCAGAAAAAUUAUUUGACAAAAUUCAAAAUCUAUUCAUGAGAAAACCACUCUGCAAACUAAAAAUAGGGAAAAACUUCCUCAAUUUCAAAAGAAUGUUUAUUAAAAAAAACCUACAUCUUACCUCAUACUAAAUGUAGAAACACUAGAUGCCUUCCUGCUAAGAUCAGGAGCAAGGCAAAGAUGUCUCCUCUCACCAUUCCUAUACAACAUUAUACUGUAAGCCCCAGGUAAUACAAUGACAAGAAUAGAAAAGGUACAUAGAUUAGGAAGGAAGAAAUAAAACUGUCUUUUUACACAGAUGAUAUAAUUGCCUAUGGAGAAAUCUGAAAGGAUCACAAAACAAAAUCUUAGAAUAACCAAUUAUAAUGAGCAAUUAUACCAACUUUGCAAAUUAUAAGAAAAUGUAAAUGUCAAUUAUUGUCCUACAUAUUAGCAGUGUAAUUAGAAUCUGAAAUUUAAAACAAUGAUAUUUAUGCUAGUACCAAUAACAAUAAAAUACUUAAGUGCAAAUCUAACAAAAUAAAUAUAAAUAUAGGACUUUAUUCACUUCAAAACUGUGAAUAAAAACAUCAAAGAAGAUCUAAAUAAAUAGAGAGAAAAUUCACAUUCAAGAAACAUUCAACUUUGUUAAAAUGUCAGUACCUCCCAACUUUACAUGUUCAAUGCAGUCCCAAUCAAAAUUCCACAAAGUUAGUUUGUGGAUAUUGACAAACUGACCCUAAAGUUUAUAUGAAAAGGCAAAAGACCCAGAAUAGCCCAGAAAAUAUUCAAAAAGAACAGUUGGAAUGACACUACCCAACUGUAAGAACUACUAUAAAGCUACAGUAAUCAAAAUAACAUGGUACUGUUAAAAAUAAUAGAGAAACAGAUAAACGAUACAAAAGAGAAAGGUCGGAAAUUGACCCACACAAAUAUAGUCAGCUUAUUUUUGAUGAAAUGGCAAAGGCAAUUCAAUUGAGAGAGAAUAAUUUUUCAAAAAACAGUACUGGAAAAACUAGACAUCCACAUGCAAGAGAAAAGAAAAAAAAAAUCCUAAACCCAGACCUAACAACUUUCACAGAAAUUACUCAAAAUGGAUCAUAGCUCAAUAUAAAAGGAAAACCCACAAAACUUUUAGAAAAUAACAAAGAUCAGAAUCUGAAUUACCUCAGGUUUUGCUCCUUUCUACAACACCCAAAAUAUUAUCCAUGAAAGGAAAAUCUGCUAAGUUGAACUAUUUUAAAAAUAACAUUUCUGCACUGCCAAAGAUGCUGUUAAAAGAAUAAAAAUGCAAACCACAGAAUAAAAGAAAAUAUUUGCAAAACACAUAACUGAUAAAAGACUGGUAUCCAGAAUAUGCGACAAGAAAUAAAGAACUCUUAAAACGCAAGAAUAAGAAAUGAACAACCCAAUUAUAAAAUUGCAAAAGAUCCAGAUACCUUACUAAAGAACAUAUAAGCAUGGCAAAUAAGCAUAUGAAAAUAUGCUCAACAUCAUAUGUCAUUAGGAAAUUGAAAAUAACAAUGGCAUACUGCCACACACAUAUUAGAAUGGCUAAAAUCCAAAACAAUGACUACACUAAAUGCUGGUGAGGAUAUAGAGUAACAAGCACUCUCAUUUAUCGCGGGUGAAUAUGCAAAGUGCUAUGACCAGUUUGGAAGACAGUUUGCCGGUUUCUUACAGAGCUACACAUACAUUUAAGUGCAAUCCAGCAAUCACACUCUGUGGCCUUUAUCCAAAAGAGGUGGAAACUUUCAUCUACACAAAACUCUUCACCCUACUAUUAAGAAGAGUUUUAUACAUAAUUGCCAAAACAUGAAACCAACCAAGAUAUUCUUCAAUAGGUAAAUGAAUAAACUAACUGGGGUGCAACUAUACAACGAACAUUAUUCACUGAUAAAAAGAAAUGAGCUGUCAAGCCUUGAAAAGAUAUGAGGAACCUUAAGUGCAUAUGGUUGGGAAAGAAGGAAAUCUGAAAAGGCUACAUGCUAUAUGAUUCCAAGUAUAUGACAUUCUGUAAAAGGCAAAACCAAGGAGACAGUAAGAAGAUCUGUGGUAUCCCCAAGUUUGGGGGGAAGAAGGGAGAGAUGAAUAGGUGGGGUACAGCAUAUAUUUUAAGACAGCAAAACUAUUCUGCAUAAUGCAGUAAUGGUGGAUACAUGUCAUGUCAUUAUGCAUUUGUCAAAAUCCAUAGAUUUUAAAAUAAAAAAAACCAUGAAUUUGAAUGCAAACUUUAGAUUUCAGCUAAUAAUAACUUUUCUAUAUUAGUUCAUUAACAGUAAAAAUAUGCCACACCAAAGUAAGGUGUUAAUAACAGAGGAGAAGCUGGGUGCAGGGAGAGGAUACAUGGAAACUCUGUGCUUUCCACUUAAUAUUUAUGUAAACUUGAUACUUACCAAAAAAAUAAAGUAUAAAAAAUAUCCCAAUGAUUACUAUCAAAAGUAGACUGGAUUUAAAAAUUAUACUAGUUACAAAUAUGUGACUGAAUAUAGUCCUAUGCAGCAAUUAAAAUAAAUAAACUCAGGUGUUAAAUGUCAUCCCCAUGAUCGUAAUCACAAAAAAGCCAUAGAAUAUACACAAAAGAAAAUAAAAAGUGUAAAUGUUUCACCAGAAAAAAUCAACCAAACAAGAAGAAAUAAUGUAGAAAAUACAAAACUAGAAGAUGUAAGAUAUACAGAAAACAAAUAGCAAAAGGACAGAACUCUCUACUUUUAAGUAAUUAUUUUAAAUGUAAAUGUAUUAAACUAUCCAAUUAAAAGGCAGAAAUCAGCAGAACAGACUAUAAAACAUGAUCUAACUAUCUUGUUUUUACAAGAUUCACAUUAGAUUCAAAGAUACAACUAGGCUGAAAGUAAAAGGAAGAAAACAGAUAUUUCGUGCAAACAGUAAGCAAAAUAGAUUUGGGUUGGCUAUAUUAAUAUCAGACAAAAUAGACUUAAAAUCAAAAAUCUUACAUAAAAAUACAAAGACACUGUGUAUUCACAAAAGUCCCUUUAGCAAGAAGAUAUAAAUAUUAUAAGCAUGCAUGUACCUAAUAAUAAACCACUAAAAUAUAUGAAGCACAAAUCGACAGAAUUGAAGAGAGAAGUCGACAGAAUUGGAGAAGUCGACAGUUCUAAAAUAAUAGAGAUGAUAAUACUCCACUCUCUGUAAUGAACAGAAUCACCAGAUAGAAGAUAAGUUAGAAAUAAAUGGCUUAUAUAAUACAACAAACCAACUAAAUUUAACAGAUACAUAUACAGGAUACUCCACCCAACAACAGAAGAAUACACACUAUUCUCAAUGUCCAUGGAUCACACAUGGACAUUCUCCAGGAUGGACUGUAUGUUAUGUCACAAAUCAAGUCAAUAACAGAAGGAAAACUAAAACACUCACAAAGUUGUAAAAUUUAACAUACUCUUAAACAACCAAUAAGUAAAAGAAAAAAACUCAAGGGAAAUUAAAAAAUACAGAGAAUGGAAAAUGAAAAUACAACAUACCAAAAGUUAUGAGAUGCACAAAAGCAGUGUGAAGAUCAGAAAUUUAUAGCUAUAAACACAUUAAAGAAGGGCCUUGGCUGGGCGUGGUGGCUCAUGCCUGUAAUCCCAGCACUUUGGGAGGCCAGGCAGGUGGAUCACCUGAGGUCAGGAGUUUGAAACUAGCCUAGCCAAAAUGGUGAAACCUUGUCUCUACUAAAAAUACAAAAAUUAGCCGGGCAUGGUAGCG
rnacentral:lncRNA from 1 species